AGCUUCAUGGCAGGGGGUUGGAACUAAGUUGACUAGUUCAAUGAUGAUGAGGGGGCAUUCUUCUUAAUAAAAUAAAAGAGUUCAGUUAUAAUAGUAUAACUAGUCAACUUAGUUCUAACCCCCUGCCAUGAAGCUG